rnacentral:rRNA from 1 species
UAGCGGAGGGGGCUAGCGUUGUUCGGAAUUACUGGGCGUAAAGCGUGCGCAGGCGGCUGCUCAAGUCAGGGGUGAAAGCCCAGAGCUCAACUCUGGAAUUGCCUUUGAGACUGAGUGGCUUGAGUACGGGAGAGGUGAGUGGAAUUCCCAGUGUAGAGGUGGAAAUUCGUAGAUAUCGGGGAAGAACACCCGUGGCGAAGGCGGCGUCUCUGGGACGGUGA